rnacentral:rRNA from 1 species
AUGGCGUCUUCAUCUCUAUCAGUCGUGUUACUCCUGUGCCUGGCCGCGGCGGUGUCGGCGCAGCUGUCGCCGACGUUCUACGAUUCGUCGUGCCCCGGGGCGCUUUCCACCAUCAAGAGCGCCGUGGACGCCGCCGUGAGCAGCAACCCCCGCAUGGGCGCGUCCCUGCUCCGGCUGCACUUCCACGACUGCUUUGUCCAAGGCUGUGACGCGUCCGUUCUGCUGUCUGGCAACGAGCAGAACGCAGGCGGGAACGCGGGAUCGCUGCUUGGCAUGGACCUCAUCCAGAAAAUCAAGGACUUGGUGGAAGCCGCGUGCGACAACAACAAGCGCACCCUCAUCGUCUCCUGCGCCGACAUCCUCGCCGUCGCCGCCCGUGACUCCGUCGUCGCGUUGGGAGGGCCGUCGUGGACGGUUCAACUCGGGAGAAGGGACUCCACCACGGCUAGCGUGACACUGGCCAACAACGACCUGCCUCCGUCGUCCUUGGACGUCGCCGGCCUCAACACCAGAUUCGCCGCCAAGGGGUUCAGCUCGAUCGAUAUGGUCGCCCUCUCUGGUGCCCACACGGUUGGGCGGGCGCAGUGCAAGAACUUCAGGAACCGGCUCUACAACGAGGCCAACAUUGAUCCGGACUACGCCGCGAAGCUCAAGGCCAACUGCCCCCAGCCAACUGGCUCCGGCGACAGCAACCUGGCACAGCUGGACGACACCCCGACACCCAUUAAUGCAGACUCGUUCGACAACAGCUACUUCGUCAACCUCCAGCUCAACAAGGGACUCCUGCACUCCGACCAGGUGCUCUACACCGUUGGCGCCGGUGGUGCCACUGAGAACAUGGUCGACAGCUUCGCGGCUAACCCGGAGACGUUCAGGAACGCCUUCGCAUCGGCCAUGGUGAAGAUGGGGAACCUCAGCCCGUUGACUGGCUCCCAGGGAAUGGUCAGGCGCACCUGCUCCAGCACCAAGGCGAACUAA